rnacentral:rRNA from 1 species
GGUCAAGUAAUGAAGUGCACAUGGUGGAUGCCUUGGCAGUCAGAGGCGAUGAAAGACGUGAUAGCCUGCGAUAAGCGUCGGUGAGGUGGCAAUAUCCUGUGACCCGGCGAUUUCUGAAUGGGGAAACCCAGCCAACAUAAGUUGGCUAUCCUAACCUUUGGUUAGGAGGCGAACCGGGAGAAGUGAAACAUCUCAGUACCCCGAGGAAAAGACAUCAAUAGAGAUUCCCCAAGUAGCGGCGAGCGAACGGGGAGUAGCCGAUCAAACUUGUAGUAGCAAAAUGGCGUGGGAAAGCCAACCAUAGUAGGUGAUAGUCCUGUAUGCGAAACUGCAAAUGCGACAUAUUAAGUAGGGCGAGACACGUGAAAUCUUGUCUGAAGAUGGGGGGACCAUCCUCCAAGGCUAAAUACUCCUGACUGACCGAUAGUGAACCAGUACCGUGAGGGAAAGGCGAAAAGAACCCCUGUUAGGGGAGUGAAAUAGAACCUGAAACCGUGUGCAUACAAGCAGUCGGAGCCCACUUGUUGGGUGACGGCGUACCUUUUGUAUAAUGGGUCAGCGACUUAUAUUCUGUAGCAAGGUUAACCGUUUAGGGGAGCCGUAGGGAAACCGAGUCUUAAUAGGGCGAAUUAAGUUGCAGGGUAUAGACCCGAAACCGAGUGAUCUAUCCAUGAGCAGGUUGAAAGUGCCGUAACAGGCACCGGAGGACCGAACCCACUGUCGUUGAAAAGCCAGGGGAUGACUUGUGGAUAGGGGUGAAAGGCUAAUCAAACUCGGUGAUAGCUGGUUCUCCCCGAAAGCUAUUUAGGUAGCGCCUCGGACGAACACCAUUGGGGGUAGAGCACUGUUUCGGCUAGGGGGUCAUCCCGACUUACCAAACCGAUGCAAACUCCGAAUACCGAUGAGUGAUAUCCGGGAGACAGACGGCGGGUGCUAACGUCCGUCGUCAAGAGGGAAACAACCCAGACCGCCAGCUAAGGCCCCAAAUUCCUAGUUAAGUGGGAAACGAUGUGGGAAGGCACAGACAGCUAGGAUGUUGGCUUAGAAGCAGCCAUCAUUUAAAGAAAGCGUAAUAGCUCACUAGUCGAGUCGGCCUGCGCGGAAGAUGUAACGGGGCUCAAACUAGGAGCCGAAGCUGCGGAUUUAAUUGUUUCAAUUAAGUGGUAGGGGAGCGUUGUGUAAGCCUGUGAAGGUGUAUCGUAAGGUAUGCUGGAGGUAUCACAAGAGCGAAUGCUGACGUGAGUAACGACAAAACGGGUGAAAAGCCCGUUCGCCGGAAGACCAAGGGUUCCAGUCCAACGUUAAUCGGGGCUGGGUGAGUCGACCCCUAAGGCGAGGCCGAAAGGCGUAGUCGAUGGGAAAUCGGUUAAUAUUCCGAUACUUGUUUAUGAUGCGAUGGAGGGACGGAGAAGGUUAUGUCAGCCUGGCGUUGGUUGUCCAGGUGGAAGGAUGUAGGUAGGUUUAGUAGGCAAAUCCGCUAGACUAUUACUGAGAUCUGAUAGCAAGCCAGUUUACUGGCGAAGUGGCAAAUACCCUGCUUCCAGGAAAAGCUUCUAAGCGAUAGUCAUAAACAAAUCGUACCCGAAACCGACACAGGUGGUCAGGUAGAGAAUACCAAGGCGCUUGAGAGAACUCUGCUGAAGGAACUAGGCAAAAUGGUACCGUAACUUCGGGAGAAGGUACGCUGCCGAUGGUGAUAAGACUUGCUCUUUGAGCUGUUGGCAGUCGCAGAUACCAGGCUGCUGCAACUGUUUAUUAAAAACACAGCACUCUGCAAACACGAAAGUGGACGUAUAGGGUGUGAUGCCUGCCCGGUGCUGGAAGGUUAAUUGAUGGGGUUAGCGUAUGCGAAGCUCUUGAUCGAAGCCCCAGUAAACGGCGGCCGUAACUAUAACGGUCCUAAGGUAGCGAAAUUCCUUGUCGGGUAAGUUCCGACCUGCACGAAUGGCAUAAUGAUGGCAGCGCUGUCUCCAGCAGAGACUCAGUGAAAUCGAAAUCGCAGUGAAGAUGCUGUGUACCCGCGGCUAGACGGAAAGACCCCGUGAACCUUUACUACAGCUUUACAUUGAACUUUGACCUAACUUGUGUAGGAUAGGUGGGAGGCUUUGAAGUGGCGACGCCAGUUGCCAUGGAGCCAUCCUUGAAAUACCACCCUGGUUAUGUUGGGGUUCUAACUUAGAUGUAACAACAUCAAGGACAAUGUAUGGUGGGUAGUUUGACUGGGGCGGUCUCCUCCUAAAGAGUAACGGAGGAGUACGAAGGUGCGCUCAGAACGGUCGGAAAUCGUUCAAAGAGUAUAAAGGCAAAAGCGCGCUUAACUGCGAGACCCACAAGUCGAGCAGGUACGAAAGUAGGUCUUAGUGAUCCGGUGGUUCUGUAUGGAAGGGCCAUCGCUCAACGGAUAAAAGGUACUCUGGGGAUAACAGGCUGAUACCGCCCAAGAGUUCAUAUCGACGGCGGUGUUUGGCACCUCGAUGUCGGCUCAUCUCAUCCUGGGGCUGAAGCAGGUCCCAAGGGUAUGGCUGUUCGCCAUUUAAAGAGGUACGCGAGCUGGGUUUAGAACGUCGUGAGACAGUUCGGUCCCUAUCUACCGUGGGCGUUGGAAAUUUGAGAGGAUCUGCUCCUAGUACGAGAGGACCAGAGUGGACGAACCUCUGGUGUUCCGGUUGUUUCGCCAGAAGCAUCGCCGGGUAGCUACGUUCGGAUGGGAUAACCGCUGAAAGCAUCUAAGCGGGAAGCCCACCUCAAGAUAAGAUUUCCCUAAAGAGCCGUUGUAGACUACGACGUUGAUAGGUUGGGUGUGGAAGCAUGGUGACAUGUGUAGCUAACCAAUACUAAUUGCUCGUUUGGCUUGACCAUACAACACCCA